CAGAGGCCCCAAGCGUUACUGAGAAUCACUGGGUUUAAAGGGUGCGUAGGUGGCGCGUUAAGUCCGUUGUGAAAGCCCUGGGCUCAACCCAGGAACUGCUUCGGAUACUGGCGCGCUUGAGGCUAGUAGGGGUCACUGGAACUGACGGUGGAGCGGUGAAAUGCGUAGAUAUCGUCAGGAACGCCAAUGGUGAAGACAGGUGACUGGGCUAGUUCUGACACUGAGGCACGAAAGCGUGGGGAGCGAACGGGAUUAGAUACCCCGGUAGUCCACGCCCUAACCGAUGCAGACUAGACUGCAGCGGGUUACACCCCGUUGCGGUCGGAGCGAAAUUGUUAAGUCUGCCACCUGGGAAGUACGGUCGCAAGGCUA
rnacentral:rRNA from 1 species